UACGUAGGGGGGCAAGCGUUGUCCGGAUUUACUGGGCGUAAAGAGCGUGUAGGCGGCCAGACAGGUCCGUUGUGAAAACUGGAGGCUACAACCUUCAGACGUCGACGGAAACCGUCUGGCUAGAGUCCGGAAGAGGAGAGUGGAAUUCCUGGUGUAGCGGUGGAAAUGCGCAGAUAUUAGGAGGAACACCAGUGGCGAAGGCG
rnacentral:rRNA from 1 species